AAGGGAGGAGUUGAUUGGCCUAAGGUUCAGCACAUCACUACUGUGUGGUUGGAUCAGGAACUUUUCAAGCUGCAAUGAUAUCUCCAGGUUGCUCACAUUCCUGUUGCUCUUUUCUUUGACAUAGAUGGAAUGUCAGAACUUGCAACAAAAUUACCACAGGUUGCCUCAGAGGAAGCCUUUGCUGCUGCUGUUUAAUUUUGGAUCCUUAUUGCAACAAUUAGAGCAGGUGCAAUUGGAUUUGUGCUCCAUCCUCAUAUAGAUUACUUCUCAAUCAAAUCAACACAUGCUUUGGACAUAAACCGUAGUUCUGAUUUAAUCUUUAAUUAGCAACAAUGGGAAGGCUGCUAGUGUGAAACCCAGUAAAGUCUCAUAUUCUGACACCAGCUUUGGUUUAUUUCUUCUUUCUUGUAUUGUGGAAGCUCACCCUUGAAUCUUCACCAAAUGGGCAGCUUUCUUUGAAGCUAUACAAAAGAAUCUGGCUUUAUGAAGGAAUCACUUUCACCAGUGUAUGGACAAGAAGAAGAAGCUGCAGCUAAAUGAACACAAAAGAAAGAUUCUUCUAGAAUGAACAUGCCAUUAUUUCUCAGAGUGAAGAGUGAAAGGAUUAUUUUACCAAUUGCUAUUAAUUCAAUGUCACACCAACAAUGAACCCAAAAAUCAAAUUUAGCUAUACUUAUUCAUGAUUCAGUUUUAGGAUUUCCACUUUUCGAUACAAUUUUGUUUAGGAGUACUAAACAAGUCUCCUUUAGACAAAUUUUUCUUUUGACAUCUCGCAAAUGAUUGCUAGUGCAGAACUGAAGCCAAAAAGUUUCUAAGGAAAUCAGACCUCAUUCUUCAAUUAAUUGAAAUUAGUUUUCUCAAUUAAAUUGAUUGUUUAUAUCCAAUAUCAAUUAUUCUAUAUACUCAAAAAACACAGUGAAUGUAACCAAAAUAUGAGUAGACGAACAACUUUAGGAUUUUGACAGUGCAACCAAAAUCAAAGAAAUUCAAACAACAAGGAAUCUGGAUUUGAAAUUGCGAGAGUUGGAAAACCACUGCAAUAUAUGGCUGCAUAUGAUAUGAUGAUUGGAUUCUAUCACUAGUGAAGUUGAGGUACAUCUAUAUGAAACGAGCAUCAUAAACAUAAAAGAAACGCAACAAGGUACCGGGAAGGACUCGACAAGGUUGCUGUUAUUCUUCUGCAUAAAAGAAUCACCAGUGCAUUGAAAAGAAGCGGAAGCUGUGACAAAAUGAACACAAAGAACAUGCCAUGAUUUGUCAAGGAGUGCUGAACUGAAAAUAGUGGUUCAGUGACACAACUCAAAGAAAUCCAUCAAAAUGGAAAAUGACAUGAUCAAGUAAUGAAAAUGUCCUAUCUUAGAACGAGUCCUCCUUUACCAACAAGCAGCAGGAGAAAUCUGAGCCACUAUAUGUAUCCCAACUUUGAAAUAUUUCAUCUUGUAUUGUGAAAGCUCACUUGAAUCUUGGGUCGUUUUGCUGCCCUUAAAGUCACCAAAUGGGCAGCUGCUUUUGAUGGUUUCUAUUUUUAAUGAACUUGAAGAUUGGUGUGAAUGCCUCUUCGUUUAUUGGAUUAUUUGCUUUAAUUUUCCAUCACUGAAAGAUUUUGUGUCCCUCACAGUUGAUCAAGAGGGACCUUCAGAUUUGGCUCUGGGAUUUUUAUAUAAUGUUCAAUGAAGUCUUAUUUCAUUAUGCUAAAUUUUUUAUGAUUUUAAAUGAUUUUCUGCAAUUGAGCAUCCAAAUCUGUAUCAUUAUUUUCCUGCCUUGA